rnacentral:tRNA from 1 species
GGUUGGUGAGAUGGCUCAGUUGGUAAGAGUACCCGACUGCUCUUCCGAAGGUCCAGAGUUCAAAUCCCAGCAACCA